rnacentral:lncRNA from 1 species
GUUUAUUAUAAAUAAUCAAAACAGUAGUUGUUGUAAUUCUAGUUAGUUGUUUUUACAAAGUAUUAUAAAUAAAGAGAGAUGGAUGAUGGAAGAACCAUCCAAUGAAUUGAAUCCAACUACUCUUCUUCUUUUGGAUCCACUUGGAGAUUUCUUCCCUCUUUUCCUCCGACCCCUUGUGAGAUUUUCCGUUCACCUUUCUACCUGGAUCAAUUCGAUCCCUUCUUCCGGCCACUCCGUGUGCACACUCGCCGUCAGGAACGAGGACGUUCCACCCCGACGCUUGUCCAUCUUCUCCUGACGAACGUGAACUUCGCUUUAUUCCUUCAGCAACAUGCAAUCAGCCCAAAUGGAGUGUUGAUACUUCACCUACCGACCAAACUUCUCGAGAAUCUUUUGCGAGCUCAUCAGAACGAGGAUAAGAAGACAAUGGUAAGGGGAGACCCUAGACGGGUUUCUAUAUACACAGGUACAGUAAUAGUGAUGGGUGGACAACGAGGGUAACGAGCCGAGCUUUUGCUUAUAGAACCAGACUCGGGCUCGGCUUGUUAAGGAAUUAUCCAGACUCAGGCUUAAGCUCGCCGAGUCUGGUUUGGCCGAGCUCGGGCUCGGCUCGUUUUAAGAAUUUUCAGGCUCGGGCUCUUUCACGGGAGAAUACUGUCCACUGGGUUAGGAACCUCACAGGCCCACGGGCCCCCCAGAGGUCCGACCCAUGUGAUAGUAUAAAUACUCCCACCCAAGGCCAUUAGAAAAGCGACCGCUAGAAGAAAAAAAAUGGACAUUUGAAGUUAUUAAAAUGAUAAAAUACUAACAUAUCAAAUCAAAUAAAUUUCGUGAUUUCUCUUAAUUAUUUAAAUCUCUUCCGCCGAUUAAAUUUAUUGUGUUUCCUUUAUUGCAGUUACCCUUUUUGGUCGGUUGUUUAAUUUCAAUUUACCGUUAUUUUUUUAAAAUUUCGAUUGAAAUUUUAACAAUUUCAUUGGGUUAAUUUUAUAAUUUUUACCGAAGACGGGUAUUAACCGUAAAUUUCGUCCGGUGUCGAAG